rnacentral:lncRNA from 1 species
UAGAGGUAUAUUUAAUAUUUAUUUAUUAUUAGAGUUCAAGUCCUGAUGGACUCUGGGUGAAACUCUAUAAAUAGGGAUGUAACUGCUUCUUUUCAGUAAUCUAUAAAAAAUACUAUUGUCUUUGGACAAACCCUAGGAGGUCGAUCCCCUCGAAGUGAUCAAGGAGGGCCGAUCCCCUCGAAGAGAUCAAGGAGGGCCGAUCCCCUCGAAGCGAUCAAGGAGGCCGAUCCCCUCGAAGCGAUCAUUAUCAUCCCCAUUUCUCCCC